rnacentral:rRNA from 1 species
GAAGGGUGAACGGCCACAUUGGGACUGAGACACGGCCCAAACUCCUACGGGAGGCAGCAG